rnacentral:rRNA from 1 species
GACUGCGGAGGAUCAUUAACGUUUUUGGAGGCAGGCUGUAUAAGUCUGGUUGGCAACAACCAGCAUGCCCCUCUGAUUUUGUUACCCUUGUCUAUUUGCGCACUCAUGUUUCCUCGGUGGGCUUGCCCGCCGAUUGGACAAACUUAAAACCUUUUUAAUUGUUAAAUCAGCGUCUGAAACAAACAUAAUAAUUACAACUUUCAACAACGGAUCUCUUGGUUCUGGCAUCGAUGAAGAACGCAGCGAAAUGCGAUAAGUAGUGUGAAUUGCAGAAUUCAGUGAAUCAUCGAAUCUUUGAACGCACAUUGCGCCCCUUGGUAUUCCAUGGGGCAUGCCUGUUCGAGCGUCAUUUGUACCUUCAAGCUUUGCUUGGUGUUGGGUGUUUGUCCUGCCUUUGCGUAUGGACUCGCCUUAAAUCUAUUGGCAGCCGGCAAUCUGGUGUUUGAGCGCAGCACAUUUUGCGCUCUUUGCUGGCAUUGCGGCGUCCAUGAAGCCUACAUUCUAGCGCUUGACCUCGGAUCAGGUAGGGAUACCCGCUGAACUUAAGCAUAUCAAUAAGCGGAGGA